AAAGAACGGAAUUGUGCCAACAUUGCAAAAGAACAGGGAACAGAUUCUCUCCUAGAGCCUCCAAGAAGGAAUGCAGUCUGCUAACACCUUCCUGUUCUUCCAGGGAGACCCAUAUAGACAUAUGGCCUGCAGAAUUGUCCUCAACUGACUCUGGGGACUAAAGAAAAAAAGUAUAACUUAUCAUGGAAGUUGCUUUAGUGCAAAAUUAAUCAGGUCAGGGGAGGAUUGGAUAUGGAGAUUAAACUGUCAUGCUUGGAUCUGGAAGGGCACCAUCCAAAAGAAAAUGGCCAUGUUCUCACCGAUGAGAUAUUUAGGAUACCGGAUCGCUAGCAUCCUUUCAAGUAGCCCAUUAUAUCCGUGUCUCAAAGAAACCAUACGUAGACACAGCAUCAUCUCUACCCAUAAAAGCUGGCAUUCUGCAAGACUGAGAAGAUGCCCACCUCCAUUCCCAGAGUCCAGGCCUUCAUUAACUCACACGAGAACUACAGAAGCAUCCCCCCGUAGUUCUCCUAUUAGUCACUCCUCCUCAACUGCCUCUAAUCCAUCCAUCCAUCCAUCCAUCCGGCAUGGGUCAUGUAAAGUUACAGCUGAGAAGGGCUGGAUACAGUGAACUGGAGGAAUAGCGGGGAGAAUUGCCAAUACUCAGGAGUCAGGCUUCACAUUGAUCAUGCAGCUAAUAAGAAAGAAGGCAAAGGUACCAAGCCCCUUGCCAUAUGAGAGCUUCCAUCAACUUUGGCAGAAGAUAGAAAGGAAAAUACUACUACUGUUUAGAAACUGCACUGAUAUUUCUUGACUUCUCCUGAAUCGACUACUGUUUUCCCCUCAGUGAUUCAAAUACAAGAGAAAUUUUUCUCAUCAUUCUGUGUCUCAAAGCUCUGAAAUAAGGCAUCUUUUCCUGUCUUUUAUUUGAUUUAAGGCCAGCUUCAAGCAUUUAUUGAACUGAUUAGCACAUUAGUUUUAUUUUUUUUUUCCAUGUCCUUUUAUGUUCUGGUGAGUUUAUUAGGUGAGGCCAGUUUCCUUCAGAGAAUUUAAUCCAAAGGCCUUUACUAGAAGGCUGGCAUGUUUCCUUUUCUCAUAAAGAUAAGGAAACAUCAACAGGCAUAACAUAGCAGAAUGUCUAGCCUAAGUUAUGGAAAAGAUUCCAUGCCAUACUCCCUGGUGAGGUUGACUUCACACUUACUGGCUUACUUCUCCUGAUACUUGGUUUACAAGUGAGACAAGUAAUCCCCUCUGAGGGUAACUGGUCAUGUUUCUUUGUUUAUUCUGGGGGUCAUUUUGCCACUAACAGCUAUGCUGGCUCUAUGCAGAACUUCAAAGCUCAGGCUGUCUACCUGAGCUAUAGGGAAGAAGAAGCUACAGAGUUGCCUUUAAUAAGACAUCAGCAAUACAUUUAGCUGUCAGGGAAGAUGGGUCAUAUUUAGGAAUACAUGGAGAAUAAGUUUUAAAAGAGAGAGAAUCCAAAUGUAUUGUACUCUUAAUUAGAGGUCCCUAAACUGCAAAUUCAUUUGCUAAUAUAAUUUCUCAUGCUUUUUAUUUCAAUAAUGUAUGUAUUCGGUAAUGUCUGAUAAAUACUUGCACUUCA
rnacentral:sRNA from 1 species